ensembl:lncRNA
GUGUAAUUGAUCCUAUCUUACCAGUUAAAAACGCUCAUUCAGACCGCUAGGUGUAAUUGAUCCUAUCGUACCAGUUAAAACACUCAUUCAGACCGCUAGGUGUAAUUGAUCCCAUCGUACCAGUUAAAAACACUCAUUCAGACCGCUAGGUGUAAUUGAUCCUAUCUUACCAGUUAAAAACGCUCAUUCAGACCGCUAGGUGUAAUUGAGCCUAUCGUACCAGUUAAAAACACUCAUUCAGACCGCUAGGUGUAAUUGAUCCUAUCGUACCAGUUAAAAACUCUCAUUCAGACCGCUAGGUGUAAUUGAUCCUAUCUUACCAGUUAAAAACGCUCAUUCAGACAACUAGGUGUAAUUGAUCCUAUCGUACCAGUUAAAAACGCUCAUUCAGACCGCUAGGUGUAAUUGAUCCUAUCGUACCAGUCUAAACACUCAUUCAGACCGCUAGGUGUAAUUGAUCCUAUCGUACCAGUCUAAACACUCAUUCAGACCGCUAGGUGUAAUUGAUCCUAUCGUACCAGUCUAAACACUCAUUCAGACCACUAGGUGUAAUUGUUUGUAGGUCUCUUAUCCACCUACGUUCCACUGCUUUUCACCGCCCACUGGUCCACCCAGAACACGACUGUAAUCCUGAUAUAUGGAGGUAAGUGAUGGGGUGAUCCUGGAAAUGAGUCACUAGUUCUGUGUGUAAAUGGGCCCGUUUGAUAUUGUAUAGAUGUUGUUUAAGUCUAUUUUCUAUUGUAUACUGGGUUUCCCCAAUGUAGUGUUUUUUUGCUAAAUGUGCAAGUGAUUAUAUAUAUGACAUUUGGAGUGUAGAGUGAAAUGGAGUCUAAAACUGGAGUGGAGGUCUUGCUGUAUGAGUUUGAAAUGAAUUUUCUUGGUCUGAAGUGGGCCGUGUAGGGUUUGGGUGGUUGUGGGGGCUUGGUACUGUAUUUAGCUUGGAUGAGGAUGUCUUUGAGGCUCUUAUUCCUCCUAAAUGCUGAGAUUAUUCUAUACAGCUGGAGGGGUGUGUGUGCCUGUUGGGUGAUGGAAAAAUUGUGUUUGAACACCUGAUGUAACGGUCUGAUCCUAUGUGAGAAUGUAGUAACUAGGAGGAUGAGGAUUGUCUGCUGCUCGGAAGGGGAAUGAGAGGAGGAAAGAAGAUUGUGGUUCCGAGGGGGGUCAAUUUCCAAAUCUGUUGUUCUAGGAGGGGUAAGGUUAGGGGUAGGGUUAUGAUUA